rnacentral:rRNA from 1 species
CCUACGGGAGGCAGCAGUGGGGAAUAUUGCACAAUGGGGGAAACCCUGAUGCAGCGACGCCGCGUGAGUGAAGAAGUAUUUCGGUAUGUAAAGCUCUAUCAGCAGGGAAGAAAAUGACGGUACCUGACCAAGAAGCCCCGGCUAACUACGUGCCAGCAGCCGCGGUAAUACGUAGGGGGCAAGCGUUAUCCGGAUUUACUGGGUGUAAAGGGAGCGUAGACGGCCAGACAAGUCAGGAGUGAAAGCCCAGGGCCCAACCCUGGGACUGCUCUUGAAACUGCCGGGCUGGAGUGCAGGAGAGGUAGGCGGAAUUCCUAGUGUAGCGGUGAAAUGCGUAGAUAGUAGGAGGAACACCAGUGGCGAAGGCGGCUUGCUGGACUGUAACUGACGUUGAGGCUCGAAGGCGUGGGGAGCAAACAGGAUUAGAUACCCUGGUAGUC